CUCAGUUGACUGCAAGUCAUUGGAGCCUUUCACUUCACAAACUCCAAUGGCACAAUGAAAGCAAGAACAUGACACAUCAUCAUCACAUACAGUGACACGUCGCUGCAUGGGUGGCAACUCAAAGUAUCAUUCCCAGGUCAAGUUCAUGUGUUCACAUGGCUCUCAGGCCAUGCGUUCCUACUUUGACUCAGGUGUAGCAGGUGGCCUGGGACCCAAAAGAUGGUGAUCCACACCUCAUUGGGAUGAGGCCAGAGGAAACUCUGGUAGAAGUCCAAAGCGCCUCUGAUGUACAAAUCGAUCGUUGGAACCAGGGGUAGGGAUGAAAGACUCUUUGAGCCAUCUAGUAGCUGG
rnacentral:ncRNA from 1 species